rnacentral:rRNA from 1 species
AGUGAACGCUGGCGGUAGGCCUAACACAUGCAAGUCGAACGGCAGCACAGUAAGAGCUUGCUCUUACGGGUGGCGAGUGGCGGACGGGUGAGGAAUACAUCGGAAUCUACUUUUUCGUGGGGGAUAACGUAGGGAAACUUACGCUAAUACCGCAUACGACCUACGGUUGAAAGCAGGGGAUCUUCGGACCUUGCGCGAUUGAAUGAGCCGAUGUCGGAUUAGCUAGUUGGCGGGGUAAAGGCCUACCAAGGCGACGAUCCGUAGCUGGUCUGAGAGGAGGAUCAGCCACACUGGAACUGAGACACGGUCCAGACUCCUACGGGAGGCAGCAGUGGGGAAUAUUGGGCAAUGGGCGCAAGCCUGAUCCAGCCAUACCGCGUGGGUGAAGAAGGCCUUCGGGUUGUAAAGCCCUGUUGUUGGGAAAGAAAAGCAGCAGGUUAAUACCCCGCUGUUCUGACGGUACCCAAAGAAUAAGCACCGGCUAACUUCGUG